GUGAAAAUGGGCGUUUGAUGGCCCGCAGGCCAAAGCUGUCCAAUAGAAAGCAGUAGAACUUUCAAACGCUCGCCUACUGGAAGCGUGAUUUACUUGACAACACGCGGCUCAGUUGUGUUCCUGCUGUGUCUACAGUAGAGGUCUAGACGGCAGGCUGCACCGUGCUGUACACUGCAAGCUCUCUUCAGAAAGGUCACUGGGUUUCUCAUGCAGUAAGCUUUCUAAGAACUCGCACUGGAUCGUCAUCUCAUUGUACGAUGCAGAAUUGCUUGUUUACAUGGAACGAGUGAUCAGUUAGGGAAGCAGUACGAGCGAUUGUACCCAGUUCUGGUCCAGCUGCAUGCUUAGCUUUCCACUUCAGCUCCAGUUACAAGUGGAAGCAUUUCUUUGAGGCUUGGCUUUAAGAGCACAUUUACUGUAUGUUAACGGUGUAUGGUGAAUAUAUUAUUAAAUAAUGUGGUACUUGCCCAUCAGGCAUAAUGUCUAAGAUCUAAUAUACAUAAUUCCAUUAAGCGGUGGAGGGAAGCAAGUGGAAUCGUCAUCUGGCUCCUGAGGUUUUUCUCUUGAACUAAACUUUUUUUUUUGGUUCGAGGCAAGGGCCAGAACAAAUGUGACACACAUGGUUUUUGUUACAGUCUUGUAUUGUAUAUGUGACUAAAUUCAUAGGCAAGAUGUGUCUGCUACUAAAGACCCUUUCAGACGGGAAGACGUCUGGUAGUGCUACGUUGG
rnacentral:lncRNA from 1 species